UCGCACUUGUUCAUGUGUCAUGAGUCUCGUCAAGUGAUCAGCUCUGAUUACAUUUCAUCCAUCCAUUCAUCCUUUCUAUCUGGCUGGCUGCCUAUCAUCCUAACAACAAUAAUUAAUCUCCUACUGGGAUUAAGGAUUUAUUAUGAUAAGCCAGAAUAAAGCAGGCUUUUCAAUCAUUUGUGGAGUGCUGUGGAUUCUCAUUUUAUUUGGGGCCAUUUUUCUCAACGGGGGCUCCAACACAACAGGAACAUUAGGCCUAUCUUUUCAAGACUAGGACAGAUUAUCCCUCAAAGGUUUGUCAAAAAUCAAACCUGAAAUACCACCUGAGAUUUCAGCUUUGACGGAUGACUGAUAUCAUCGGAUGGAGAACAUAAAUCAGCAUUGCCAUCCUCAACGUCAAACCCAAACCCAUCAUGUGCUCGUAUGUUUCCCCCUUUCAUCAUCCGUUCUACUGUCGGACAAGAAGUGUGAGAAUCGAAAAGCUAAAAAUAACAUAAAGAAGGCACGUCUGGCUC